rnacentral:rRNA from 1 species
AUUGCACGCUGGCGGCAGGCCUAACACAUGCAAGUCGAGCGCGAGGCGGACGGGUGAGUAAUGUCUGGGAAACUGCCUGAUGGAGGGGGAUAACUACUGGAAACGGUAGCUACUACCGCAUACCAUCAACUGUGCCCAGAUGGGAUUAGCUAGUAGGUGGGGUAAUGGCUCACCUAGGCGACGAUCCCUAGCUGGUCUGAGAGGAUGACCAGCCACACGGGAACUGAGACACGGGCCAGACGCCGACGGGAGGGAGCAGUGGGGAAGAUUGCACAAUGGGCGCAAGCGUGAUGCAGCCAUGCAGCGUGUAUGAAGAAGGCCUUCGGGUUGUAAAGUACUUUCGGCGGGGAGGCGUUACCCGCAGAAGAAGCACCGGCUAACUCCGUGCCAGCAGCCGCGGUAAUUC